rnacentral:lncRNA from 1 species
UGACUCAUUGUCAGAGUCAGACUGUGCAGAGGUGCAAGCGAAAAAGAAGAAAAGCGGUGAAGAGCGAGAGAGAACAACAGACAAAGCUAAAAAGAGAAGGAAGCAUAAGAAACACAGCAAGAAGAAGAAAAAGAAGGCUGCCAGUGCAAGCUCAGACUCGCCGUAGCAUCCAGAAGACCAGGGUCCUCACAGAGUGCGAUGUCGAAGGAGCUCUCAACUGUGAAGAUUAUGACUUACUUAGUAACGUGCAUGAAUCCCCUUGUUUUUAGACUUGUCCUGGACUAGUCAGUAACCACUUGGAUUCCGCUGUGUGAAGGGCCAUGGAUGUUGCCUGCUGCUUGAACACCUUUCCCCCUUCCAGUGCUUGGUGACUCUGGGAGAUAGUACUUUGCAGUCAUACUAGUGGCUAAGAUACUUGGAAUAAAAGCUAAUGUUUUUUACUAGAAGUACUUAAGAAUAAUUCAACAGGAACUGAAUCUGGAUCCAUAUUUUAAGAU